rnacentral:rRNA from 1 species
UUAAUACAUGCAAGUCGAGCGGGGUUACUGCGACAGAUCCCUUCGGGGUGACGUUGCUUUAACCUAGCGGCGGACGGGUGAGUAACGCGUGGGUAACCUACCCUAAAGCUCGGGAUAACAGUGGGAAACCGCUGCUAAUACCGGAUGACUUUAACCUAUGGCAUCAUGGGUUAAAGAAAGAUUUAUCGCUUUAGGAUGGGCCCGCGUCCCAUUAGCUAGUUGGUGAGGUAACGGCUCACCAAGGCGACGAUGGAUAGCCGGCCUGAGAGGGUGUACGGCCACACUGGGACUGAGACACGGCCCAGACUCCUACGGGAGGCAGCAGUAGGGAAUAUUGCGCAAUGGACGGAAGUCUGACGCAGCGACGCCGCGUGAGCGAUGAAGGCCUUCGGGUCGUAAAGCUCUGUCCUUGGGGAAGAAGGUCUUCGGACUUGACGGUACCCAAGAAGAAAGCCCCGGCUAACUACGUGCCAGCAGCCGCGGUAAUACGUAGGGGGCGAGCGUUGUCCGGAAUUACUGGGCGUAAAGGGUGCGUAGGCGGCCCUUUAAGUCAGAUGUGAAAGGCCACGGCUUAACUGUGGGAUUGCAUUUGAAACUGGAGGGCUUGAGUGUC